GAAUUUUGGACAAUGGGCGAAAGCCUGAUCCAGCAAUGCCGCGUGCAGGAUGAAGGCCUUCGGGUUGUAAACUGCCUUUGUACGGAACGAAAAGCUUUUGGCUAAUACCCUGCAGUCAUUCCGGUACCGUACGAAUAAUCACCGGCUAACUACGUGCCAGCAGCCGCGGUAAUACGUAGGGUGCAAGCGUUAAUCGGAAUUACUGGGCGUAAAGCGGGCGCAGGAGGUUUUGUAAGACAGAGGUGAAAUCCCCGGGCUCAACCUGGGAACUGCCUUGGUGACUGCAAGGCUAGAGUACGGCAGAGGGGGGUGGAAUUCCGCGUGUAGCAGUGAAAUGCGUAGAUAUGCGGAGGAACACCGAUGGCGAAGGCAACCCCCUGGGCCUGUACUGACGCUCAUGCACGAAAGCGUGGGGAGCAAACA
rnacentral:rRNA from 1 species